AUUGCAUAUACAUAUGUUUUGGUUGUUUGUGGAUGAGUGGACCAGUCAUUCAGAAUAUAGGAGAAUUCUUCAUCAACUGAUUGUAGAAAUUUAGUCUUGUGAUAAGUAUUUAUAUGUAAACAUAAUGCUUAAUAAUGUCUACUUUAGAAGUACUUUAAAAUGUAUUAACCUAGUUUAGCGGCCAAAGUUUGGAUUUGCUUAGCAAGCCUCAUAUUGACUUUUGAUUUCAUAAUUGUGCAAAGUAGUUCAAGAGCAUGUUUUCCAUUCAUAUUGUAUUUGUUUGUGUCAUUAGUAUCUAUUUGAUCUUUGUAAAGCUCCAAAUUUGAAAUGGUUUGUUUUUAACCUUAUUUUGACUAUGUCAUUGGGUUAAAUUAAAAAACAUGAGACCCUGAUUAGACCCACGCCCUAUCAAAUGCACACUCACACUUUUGUAUGUGAUGGCUUUGGCAAUAUGUAUUCAUCAUUCUUUGUUUUACUUGAAAAUAAGCAAGCCAGACUAAUUAGAACUUUGCCUGCGCAAAAUCAUCUCUUGUAUAAUUUUCUUGUUUUUGGUUGACAGGUCCUCACAG
rnacentral:misc_RNA from 1 species